GUUAAGCGACUAAGCGUACACGGUGGAUGCCCUGGCAGUCAGAGGCGAUGAAGGACGUGCUAAUCUGCGAUAAGCGUCGGUAAGGUGAUAUGAACCGUUAUAACCGGCGAUUUCCGAAUGGGGAAACCCAGUGUGUUUCGACACACUAUCAUUAACUGAAUCCAUAGGUUAAUGAGGCGAACCGGGGGAACUGAAACAUCUAAGUACCCCGAGGAAAAGAAAUCAACCGAGAUUCCCCCAGUAGCGGCGAGCGAACGGGGAGCAGCCCAGAGCCUGAAUCAGUGUGUGUGUUAGUGGAAGCGUCUGGAAAGGCGCGCGAUACAGGGUGACAGCCCCGUACACAAAAAUGCACAUGCUGUGAGCUCGAUGAGUAGGGCGGGACACGUGGUAUCCUGUCUGAAUAUGGGGGGACCAUCCUCCAAGGCUAAAUACUCCUGACUGACCGAUAGUGAACCAGUACCGUGAGGGAAAGGCGAAAAGAACCCCGGCGAGGGGAGUGAAAAAGAACCUGAAACCGUGUACGUACAAGCAGUGGGAGCACGCUUAGGCGUGUGACUGCGUACCUUUUGUAUAAUGGGUCAGCGACUUAUAUUCUGUAGCAAGGUUAACCGAAUAGGGGAGCCGAAGGGAAACCGAGUCUUAACUGGGCGUUAAGUUGCAGGGUAUAGACCCGAAACCCGGUGAUCUAGCCAUGGGCAGGUUGAAGGUUGGGUAACACUAACUGGAGGACCGAACCGACUAAUGUUGAAAAAUUAGCGGAUGACUUGUGGCUGGGGGUGAAAGGCCAAUCAAACCGGGAGAUAGCUGGUUCUCCCCGAAAGCUAUUUAGGUAGCGCCUCGUGAAUUCAUCUCCGGGGGUAGAGCACUGUUUCGGCAAGGGGGUCAUCCCGACUUACCAACCCGAUGCAAACUGCGAAUACCGGAGAAUGUUAUCACGGGAGACACACGGCGGGUGCUAACGUCCGUCGUGAAGAGGGAAACAACCCAGACCGCCAGCUAAGGUCCCAAAGUCAUGGUUAAGUGGGAAACGAUGUGGGAAGGCCCAGACAGCCAGGAUGUUGGCUUAGAAGCAGCCAUCAUUUAAAGAAAGCGUAAUAGCUCACUGGUCGAGUCGGCCUGCGCGGAAGAUGUAACGGGGCUAAACCAUGCACCGAAGCUGCGGCAGCGACGCUGAUGCGUUGUUGGGUAGGGGAGCGUUCUGUAAGCCUGCGAAGGUGUGCUGUGAGGCAUGCUGGAGGUAUCAGAAGUGCGAAUGCUGACAUAAGUAACGAUAAAGCGGGUGAAAAGCCCGCUCGCCGGAAGACCAAGGGUUCCUGUCCAACGUUAAUCGGGGCAGGGUGAGUCGACCCCUAAGGCGAGGCCGAAAGGCGUAGUCGAUGGGAAACAGGUUAAUAUUCCUGUACUUGGUGUUACUGCGAAGGGGGGACGGAGAAGGCUAUGUUGGCCGGGCGACGGUUGUCCCGGUUUAAGCGUGUAGGCUGGUUUUCCAGGCAAAUCCGGAAAAUCAAGGCUGAGGCGUGAUGACGAGGCACUACGGUGCUGAAGCAACAAAUGCCCUGCUUCCAGGAAAAGCCUCUAAGCAUCAGGUAACAUCAAAUCGUACCCCAAACCGACACAGGUGGUCAGGUAGAGAAUACCAAGGCGCUUGAGAGAACUCGGGUGAAGGAACUAGGCAAAAUGGUGCCGUAACUUCGGGAGAAGGCACGCUGAUAUGUAGGUGAAGUCCCUCGCGGAUGGAGCUGAAAUCAGUCGAAGAUACCAGCUGGCUGCAACUGUUUAUUAAAAACACAGCACUGUGCAAACACGAAAGUGGACGUAUACGGUGUGACGCCUGCCCGGUGCCGGAAGGUUAAUUGAUGGGGUUAGCCGCAAGGCGAAGCUCUUGAUCGAAGCCCCGGUAAACGGCGGCCGUAACUAUAACGGUCCUAAGGUAGCGAAAUUCCUUGUCGGGUAAGUUCCGACCUGCACGAAUGGCGUAAUGAUGGCCAGGCUGUCUCCACCCGAGACUCAGUGAAAUUGAACUCGCUGUGAAGAUGCAGUGUACCCGCGGCAAGACGGAAAGACCCCGUGAACCUUUACUAUAGCUUGACACUGAACAUUGAGCCUUGAUGUGUAGGAUAGGUGGGAGGCUUUGAAGUGUGGACGCCAGUCUGCAUGGAGCCGACCUUGAAAUACCACCCUUUAAUGUUUGAUGUUCUAACGUUGACCCGUAAUCCGGGUUGCGGACAGUGUCUGGUGGGUAGUUUGACUGGGGCGGUCUCCUCCUAAAGAGUAACGGAGGAGCACGAAGGUUGGCUAAUCCUGGUCGGACAUCAGGAGGUUAGUGCAAUGGCAUAAGCCAGCUUGACUGCGAGCGUGACGGCGCGAGCAGGUGCGAAAGCAGGUCAUAGUGAUCCGGUGGUUCUGAAUGGAAGGGCCAUCGCUCAACGGAUAAAAGGUACUCCGGGGAUAACAGGCUGAUACCGCCCAAGAGUUCAUAUCGACGGCGGUGUUUGGCACCUCGAUGUCGGCUCAUCACAUCCUGGGGCUGAAGUAGGUCCCAAGGGUAUGGCUGUUCGCCAUUUAAAGUGGUACGCGAGCUGGGUUUAGAACGUCGUGAGACAGUUCGGUCCCUAUCUGCCGUGGGCGCUGGAGAACUGAGGGGGGCUGCUCCUAGUACGAGAGGACCGGAGUGGACGCAUCACUGGUGUUCGGGUUGUCAUGCCAAUGGCACUGCCCGGUAGCUAAAUGCGGAAGAGAUAAGUGCUGAAAGCAUCUAAGCACGAAACUUGCC
rnacentral:rRNA from 1 species